GUGAAUCAUCGAAUCUUUGAACGCAAAUUGCACUCUCUUCGGAGAGUACGCCUGUUUGAGGGUCAGCCUAAAAAAAAAAACCGACAUAGUCGCUGUUUCGCGGUGACAUUCGUUGGAUAUUUGUUUAUUUUAAAUUUUUGUGUUUUAAUUAUUUGAAAAUUUUCUUUAUGUUUCUCCGAAAAUUUUU
rnacentral:misc_RNA from 1 species